GCUGAAACUCAAAGGAAUUGACGGGGACCCGCACAACGGUGGAGCAUGUGGUUUAAUUCCGAAGCAACGCGAAGAACCUUACCAGGUCUUGACAUCCCACUGACCGGUGUAGAGAUACGCCUUUCCCUUCGGGGACAGUGGUGACAGGUGGUGCAUGGUUGUCGUCAGCUCGUGUCGUGAGAUGUUGGGUUAAGUCCCGCAACGAGCGCAACCCUUGAUCUUAGUUGCCAGCAUUCAGUUGGGCACUCUAAGGUGACUGCCGGUGAUAAACCGGAGGAAGGUGGGGAUGACGUCAAAUCAUCAUGCCCCUUAUGACCUGGGCUACACACGUGCUACAAUGGAUGAUACAGAGGGUUGCCAACCCGCGAGGGGGAGCCAAUCCCAUAAAAUCAUUCCCAGUUCGGAUUGGAGGCUGCAACUCGCCUCCAUGAAGCCGGAAUCGCUAGUAAUCGUGGAUCAGCAUGCCACGGUGAAUACGUUCCCGGGUCUUGUACACACCGCCCGUCACACCACGAGAGUUUGUAACACCCGAAGUCGGUGGGGUAACCCUUACGGGAGCCAGCCGCCGAAGGUGGGACAGCACUGAUUGGGGUGAAGUCAUAACAAGGUAGCCGUAUCGGAAGGUGCGGCUGGAUCACCU
rnacentral:rRNA from 1 species